rnacentral:rRNA from 1 species
AUGAACGCUAGCUACAGGCUUAACACAUGCAAGUCGAGGGGCAGCAUUGGGAUAGCUUGCUAUUCAGAUGGCGACCGGCGCACGGGUGAGUAACGCGUAUCCAACCUUCCUGCCAGUAGGGAACAGCCCGGCGAAAGUCGGAUUAAUGCCCUAUGUUCUUCAAUGCGGACAUCUAAGUUGAAGGAAAGAUUCAUCGCUGGCAGAUGGGGAUGCGUCCGAUUAGCUUGCCGGCGGGGUAACGGCCCACCGGGGCGACGAUCGGUAGGGGUUCUGAGAGGAAGGUCCCCCCACACUGGUACUGAGACACGGACCAGACUCCUACGGGAGGCAGCAGUGAGGAAUAUUGGUCAAUGGGCGUAAGCCUGAACCAGCCAAGUAGCGUGCAGGAUGAACCGGCCCUACGGGUUGUAAACUGCUUUUAUGCGGGGAUAAAGUGCAGCACGUGUGCCGCUUUGCAGGUACCGCAUGAAUAAGGACCGGCUAAUUCCGUGCCAGCAGCUGC